GAUGAACGCUAGCGGCAGGCUUAACACAUGCAAGUCGAGGGGCAGCAUACCCGGUGACGGGUGAUGGCGACCGGCGGAAGGGUGAGUAACGCGUGAGCAACAUACCCGUAUCAGUGGGAUAAUACAGGGAAACUUGUUCUAAUAUCACAUAAUAUUAUUCAGAGGCAUCUUUGGAUAAUUAAAGUUCAGGCGGAUACGGAAUGGCUCGCGUGACAUUAGCUAGAUGGUAGGGUAAAGGCCUACCAUGGCUAUGAUGUCUAGGGGUUCUGAGAGGGAGGUCCCCCACACUGGAACUGAGACACGGUCCAGACUCCUACGGGAGGCAGCAGUGAGGAAUCUUGCGCAAUGGGGGAAACCCUGACGCAGCAACGCCGCGUGAGUGAGGAAGGCCUUCGGGUCGUAAAGCUCUGUCAGAUGGGAGAAAUGGAUGGGGCGUAAUAUCGCCCAUCCUUGACGGUACCAUCAGAGGAAGCACCGGCUAACUCCGUCG
rnacentral:rRNA from 1 species